rnacentral:rRNA from 1 species
GAUGAACGCUGGCGGCGUGCCUAAUACAUGCAAGUCGAGCGAACGGACGAGAAGCUUGCUUCUCUGAUGUUAGCGGCGGACGGGCGAGUAACACGUGGAUAACCUACCUAUAAGACUGGGAUAACUUCGGGAAACCGUAGCUAAUACCGGAUAAUAUUUUGAACCGCAUGGUUCAAAAGUGAAAGACGGUCUUGCUGUCACUUAUAGAUGGAUCCGCGCUGCAUUAGCUAGUUGGUAAGGUAACGGCUUACCAAGGCAACGAUGCAUAGCCGACCUGAGAGGGUGAUCGGCCACACUGGAACUGAGACACGGUCCAGACUCCUACGGGAGGCAGCAGUAGGGAAUCUUCCGCAAUGGGCGAAAGCCUGACGGAGCAACGCCGCGUGAGUGAUGAAGGUCUUCGGAUCGUAAAACUCUGUUAUUAGGGAAGAACAUAUGUGUAAGUAACUGUGCACAUCUUGACGGUACCUAAUCAGAAAGCCACGGCUAACUACGUA